CAGCGUGUACCGGUGGUCUCAUGUCCUUUCUCUGUGCUAUGCCAUCUAAGAGGUCAGGAGACUGGCAAAGAAAACUCAAGACUGUAGCCGACGGGUGGGGUAGGGGGAUUAGAAAGACUAGGAGAGGCUCCCCCGUCACAUCCGCCUCCCAAGGUGGUAACCGCCCAGCGCUUUCCUGGAGCUGAAGCUCCCCAAGAAGUCACUUAGUGUCCUGUCCUUGGGACUCUAGGAUAAAACUUCUAUACCAACUUAAAGGGCAUCUCAGGAACCUAAGUGACCAAUGUACUUUGAAGUCUCUGCAUUGAAAAUCCUUCCAGAGAAAACCUGGUGUCCUUACGACCUCCUGAUCUAGAAGCUGAAUUAAAGAUGCAUUUGGUGCAAACAGACCACUUUGACUUCUCUGGUUGAAUUCAUGGGAUUCUGUGUGUCCAGAGGAUGAGAUGGCUGGAUGGCAUCACUGACUCGAUGGACAUGAAUCUGAGUGAACUCCAGGAGUUGGUGAUGGACAAGGAGGCCUGGCGUGCUGCAAUUCAUGGGGUUGCAAAGAGUCGGACACGACUGAGAGACUGAACUGAACUGAACUGUGUGUCCAAUAUCAAGAUAACAUGAAAAAGCAAUAUGUUACUGGUACGGUAGUUCCUAACUUUAGCAAAUAAAAGCAUCGAUGGGACUGAUCCCCAGAAAAAGGGUUUGCACUUGAGGCCUUGUACAAAUCAAAGUCUGGCAGCUGCUAUUUAUCUUUUCGCUUCAAGGCUUAGAGAUUAGUAGCUUUACAGAUAAGGGUAGAUCUGAUCACAAACGUGACUACAUUUGCACAAAACAAUAGAGUUAGCCUAUCCCUUCCUGCCUUAAAUCCUGGUGCUUGCUUCUCUUUGUGACUAAUAAAUGUCCUUUGUGGUGUUUUUUCCUCCCACCCAGAAUAGGGCACUUUGGUCUGCAUUAAAAACCUGUUCAGUCAGAAAGCCUUUCUCCUCAGUGAUUUUCAUAAUGGCAUCUGGAAGCUCAUCUACUGCCUCUUGGUCUACAGCAGUUGCUUAUCCUGUUAUCUUGACAUUUUUUAAGCCAAACCUCUUUCUUAAAA
ensembl:lncRNA